rnacentral:rRNA from 1 species
GAUGAACGCUAGCUACAGGCUUAACACAUGCAAGUCGAGGGGAAACGACAUCGAAAGCUUGCUUUUGAUGGGCGUCGACCGGCGCACGGGUGAGUAACGCGUAUCCAACCUGCCCACCACUUGGGGAUAACCUUGCGAAAGUAAGACUAAUACCCAAUGAUAUCUCUAGAAGACAUCUGAAAGAGAUUAAAGAUUUAUCGGUGAUGGAUGGGGAUGCGUCUGAUUAGCUUGUUGGCGGGGUAACGGCCCACCAAGGCUACGAUCAGUAGGGGUUCUGAGAGGAAGGUCCCCCACAUUGGAACUGAGACACGGUCCAAACUCCUACGGGAGGCAGCAGUGAGGAAUAUUGGUCAAUGGGCGAGAGCCUGAACCAGCCAAGUAGCGUGCAGGAUGACUGCCCUAUGGGUUGUAAACUGCUUUUAUAAGGGAAUAAAGUGAGUCUCGUGAGACUUUUUGCAUGUACCUUAUGAAUAAGGACCGGCUAAUUCCGUGCCAGCAGCCGCCGCGG